rnacentral:tRNA from 1 species
ACAUUGAUGGUUCAGUGGUAGAAUUCUUACCUACCAUGCCGGGGACCUGGGUUCGAUUCCCAGUCAAUGCA